GCGGGUUCUGGGGGACGUGUUUCAGUGUUUAGAUGUUCCAUUGGCACGUGAGAAAAUCGUGGGUCCGGUUAUCUGCCUAAGUUUCCUGAGCAUCAGGAUCGAUUCCGUGGCUGGGGAAUGUCGGUUGCCCCUGACUAAGGUUCAAGUCCUCCGGCGGGAGGCGUUGCUGGCUUUUGGGCGACGUAAGAUUGAGCUGCCCUGCCUGCAGUCUCUCCUAGGUAAGCUGGACUUUGCCUGUCGGAUUUGAACAUUGGGCUGUCUAGGAUUCCUUC